rnacentral:lncRNA from 1 species
AAGUAUGUGGUUAAUAUCAGGUAGCGUUCGCAGCUAGUGGCAUGUGCGAUCACGUCCCUCUUAAUUAGCGUUAUUAUGUGAUUUAUGGUUAGGGGGUGUGACAACUGGUCUCAGAGCAGUGGUUCAAGCCAAAGUAGAUCACUGAGGGCUAUGUGGUGGAGUUGAUGUCACCACCCCCCCCCCCAGGAUCACAGUGAACCAUAGAGAUGUGUCGGAUUUGAUAGGUUGUUAAAAGCUGGUGUAUAUUAUAAUGGUGCAGUGCUAAAAAAUCUAAAUUGAUGACACGAAGAAAGAAUGGCGAAUGAGGAAUCAUCAGUUUAUGCUAGAGGGGUGGAGCAGGAGGGACAUGAACCCCACCCCUCUCACUGCAAAGCAACAUCAGCCUAAGCCAUAGAUAGAUUGCCACUUUGAUGGCAUAGGAAAUAUAGUUACAGAUGGCACGGCCGGUAUGGAAGUACCACCCUGAAUGAAAAUUAUGAAGUUGAAUCCGGCAGAUUGGUGGGGAAAAGGACAUUUAGUGGCUGAAGAAUGGUUAAAAAAUUAAAUGCAAAUUUAAAGUGAUGGAGCUGACCGACGACAGAAGUUACACUUGGGCCACCUCAGUUAUGUUAAGGGGAGAGGCCAGAAAUUGGUGGAAGCGAUGUAGAAGAUGUAAAUACCCAACCAAAGGAGUGCCAAUUUCAUGGCAAUAAUUUUGUAAAUUUUGCAUGAUCAGUACUCCCUCGCAUCUAUCGCAAAUGCAAAAGAAUAUAGUUUUGUCGUUUGAAGAAAGGGACGAUGUCCAUGAGGCGAAUAUGAAAGAAACGUUUAUAGUCUCUGUCCUCGAUUUGCGCCUGAGAUGGUGCAUGCUGAAGAUAUGAAGUGCAGACGAUUUGAGCAGGGCCUGGACUGGUAGAUCCGGAGUCCGUGUGUCUAUGUUUGAGAAUUAAUAUAUAUUUAGAGUUGGUGAACAAAGCAAAAAUUACGAGCUGGAUAUGAUGGAAUUUCAGAAUAAGGACGAGAUAACAAAGAGGAGAAUUGGAUUCGGGGGCUGGACGUCAUACAAAGGUCUUCAUAAUGCAACAACAACAAGUAUAUCCUUAGGCCACAACUUAUGUGGCUUUCCGAUUUCAAUACCGGUUUUUCCCUUCGUUUCCUCCUUUUUCACUCUCUUGUCCCCCCGCCCUUUCCGUUUUCCGGUUUCCUCUCAUCCCCUUAACAUAAUAUGGCCAAGAUAACUCUUUUUCUAUUCGUCGUCCACCUCCCAUCACUUCAAAUAUUACAUCUAAUUUCUUUACUUUACCAUUUUCACAAGCACUACAGGAUUAGUUGCCCCCACAAAUUCUGGCGGAUUCACUUCAUAAUUGUUCAUAGUAGGGUGGUACUUCUUAAGCCGCUUUUGGCCAUCAAGUUAGAUUUAGCACAUGCAUACAUAAAUAUAACACAAGCCUAACAACCUAUCGCACUCCGACACACCGACACAUCCUAUGGUUCACUGUGAUCCAGACAUCAACUCCACCACAUAGCCUCAAUGAUAUACUUUGGCUUUGAACCACUGCUCGGAUUUACCCCAAAAGUUUUCACCCCCCCAACCUAAAUCAACAUAAUCAAGCUACUAGGCUGUGAUGUGAUCGCACCAGGCCACUAUGCCUGCGAACGACACCUGUUGCACCACAUACUCAAUAAUAAGAAUCCUCAAAUACUCAUUCAUUGAUAAUUUAAAAUCAAAAUGCCACAUCCAUAAAUUAACAUAUAUACAUACCCUGACUGAAACAUACACAACUUUCUGUAUAAAAACAUAAACAGGUAACAAUGACAUAAACUAACACGCUGUACAAAAGCAAGAACUGGUCCCAAGUUCUGCCAACAUCAAUCAAACCACACUAGGAAGCCUCUACCAUCUAGGAUCAUGACCACAGUAAACCAAUAUCUAAUUGUAAUCACUAAUACCUGUCAAAAAGAGUCUGUAUGUGGACUAAUAUCAGCAUGCUCAAAUAGAUAAUCGAACUCAUAAGAAUGAUACAAAUAGCCAUUCAUUAUAGAAAUCAAGCCAUAAAGAAUGUCCUAUGCAAUAAUUCAACCCACAUGGGCGCGCAAGUUUCGAUAGAAUUUUAGAUAGAUGAAACAAUACAAGAAGAGGAGAUUGUAUUUUGGGGGCGAGAUCGUCAAGACAAAGGUCUUCAGAUGUUACAACAACAGAGAAGCGAGUCGAGCCCAGACUGAGUGCCGAGAAGUGCAAAGACUGGUAUUUCUAGAGGUGGGGGAAAUGUUAGGGGAAGAAGGUCGUGAGACCACCACUAGACCUAAUACUGUCACGAUCUUGUACUACAGGAGGAAUUAUUUGUUAUCGGUGCUGCGUUGAAGGCCAUAUAGUCCGUGAUUUUCCCACUGCCAUGGGCGGACAAAUGUUAAUCAGUGCAGGCAACAUGGACCAUAGCAAGACAUUGUACUCAAGGCCUGUUGCCGCUUUCAAUCAGUAAGGCAGUGCAGUUGGAGGAGGUAGUAAGCAAAUAGACGUGCA